AAUACUGGAUCAUGGGCGCAAGCCCGAUCCAGCAAUUCCGCAUGUGUGAAGAAGGCCUGCGGGUUGUAAAGCACUUUCAGUAGAGAAGAAAAGCUUAGGGUUAAUACCCCUGAGUAAGGACGUUACCUACAGAAGAAGCUCCGGCUAACUCCGUGUCAGCAGCCGCAGUAAUACGGAGGGAGCGAGCGUUAAUCGGAAUUACUGGGCGUAAAGCGCGCGUAGGCGGCUUUGUAAGUUGGAUGCGAAAGCACAGGGCUUAACUCAGGAAUGGCAUUUGAUAUUGAGAAGCAGAGUAAGGUAGAGGGAAGCAGAAUUUCCGUUGUAGGGGUGAAAGGAGUGGAUAUAGAAAGGAACACCAGUGGCGAAGGAAACCUCUUGGGCCAUCUGACACGGGCAGGUGGAA
rnacentral:rRNA from 1 species